CUAUUGAUGGAGUAGUUCCAUUUAUAAAGUUUUAUACAUCAGAAAGCUUUGAAUUUGACCAGGCUGUCCAUUAAUCAUCUCUGAAAAAGUGGCAUUUCAUUUUAGCUCUAUUUUACAGCAUUAAAAAGCUUAUGCAUCAGGUCGCUUCCCGAAACAUUGUUCUCUGCACAAUGGCGCUGGGCAGACAGCUCUUCAUCCACCCAGGUCAGAGUCACGUCUGAGAGUUUCUGCUACAUACCCGUGACAGCCCACCUCACCGACUGCUCACCCUGACAGACAGCCCACCUUCUCGGUCAGUUCACACUGCCAGUUCACACCAGCAGUUGUCCUUUGUAGAUGGCAUUAGAGUAUCAGGUCAGUGACAGUGGGAGCAGGUGCUGCCAUGAGAUCCAGGUAACUAAAGGCCCUUAUUUUUUUUUUUUUAAAAAAAUGCCAAAUGUGAGAUAAAAACCAAGGGUACGAGUCCACAGCAGCAAGCUGUGCCCACUCAGUUACGGAGACGUUAAGACAUGAUUCAAAUCCCUUUAACUCAAUCUGCACAGCCCUGAGGUCAUCCUGCAAAGUGCGUAUAAAAAAUACGAAGUUAGGGAGACAAAGUUUGACAUGGUGUCAUUAUGCAGGUCAAACUUGGAAGGUCUGUGGAGCAUCUCUUCUGACAGAAAAGCAUCAGGUCCUUUGUGUACACAUUGAUUUUAUUGUAACAAAGCAACUUGUACACGGCAACAUUUAAAAUGAGCAUCUUUUUCCUUCCAGUGAAAACCGAAAAAGAGUAAAAAAAGAGAAAAAAAAAAAAGAGAAAAAAAAGGAAAGAAAAAAACUAAAGAUGAAAGUUACAACAGAGAAUGCCAACUCCAAAUAAACCCCUACAGCGUCUGCUGGUUCUCCCGUGAGUGGCGGGCUCAAGUCUUCAUCAGGAGAGUUUUAUUUUAUUUAAGUGUCACCUUAAACGGCAAGGAUGUCUGUUAAACGUCACAAUGAAACAUGCCAAAGGAGAAGCCAUGUUGUCAGAUGCCCACAUACCCCCCCGACACCUCGAUCCCACCCUUGCUCACUGUCUAUCCCCCCCCUUUUUCUUUUUUUUUCCUUUUUAUUAAACAAGAGAAAGUAGACAGAUCCAUGUUGGUAAAUGCUAACUGUCUGUAUUCACAUAGAGACACAGUGUAAUCUCUGAGCCCAAUAUACAGAGAAAAGAAAAAGCUAGAAUUCUAUGCACUACUACACAGGGGCCUAGCACCCUCCAGCCUCCAGCAGAGCCAAGGGAACUGGAGGGCUUUUCUUUCUUCCCACAGAGCAUGGUGGUGGUGUUGAAUCCACAGUUUGAGACAAGGAUAAAAAUGAAUUUAGAACAGAAACGUGAAGAUUCUUUUCCUGUUGUAUUUUGCUCAAGAUAUUUUCCCCC
rnacentral:lncRNA from 1 species